rnacentral:lncRNA from 1 species
GUGAAAUUGGGAGUGGCGUCGGAGCAACUUUGCACUCAUAGUUAAGUUUAGUACUGUUUGAUACAUGCAUUUCUUCUCUGUUUUUGUGGAGUUUAAGAUAAAAUGUUUCGACUAGUAAUUAUGGCAUUUGUUUCGACGGGCUGUCAUUCUGUGGAUGCGUUCGGUUUGGAAUGGUUACACUUUGAACCACGACGCACGGUAGUCAAGCCUUCGUACGAAGAUGCCAUUCAUACAAGCAUUGAACAUUUUCAAGGCCAACACGCUAUAAAUUUCUCCUCUCCACAAGGCAUCCAAGGAAAAAACUUGGAAACAAGGGAGUAUAUGAACACGGAUCUGCCUCUGAGUAUAAUCGACCAUGACUCCAGCCAGGUUUCCAUCAUUUUUGAAAGAAAAAGGACUUUAAUAAAAUUGAAAAAUCCAAAAAAAGGCUCAAAGGUGGUAAAUUCUCACAUUUUUCAGCGCUCUUUCCAGCCAAACUCACAAAAUAGGAAACCACUCAUUGUCAAGCCUGAAUUGAAACUUGAGAUACCACCUGAAACAUUCCAAAAAUUAAACGGACCAUCAUUCAAUGCAUCCAUACCACACCUCUUGAACCCCCAAACCCAGAAAUUACAACCUCGUAAAAUCGGUGUUUCUGUACUCAACUCGCGAUCAGAAGCCUAUGCCGAGAGUCUUGGAGGAUACUUGCCUGGAACUUUACGUAAUAGCUUCGCAGAAAAUUCAGAGACUAGCAUUUCAGGGAAUUCAAGAACGCUAUCCCAGAGCUCAGGAGACAGCUUCCUAGAGAGUAAGGUCAACCAUUUAGAUAAUCCAGGUGCUAACGUUUCAGAGAGUUUUGCAACUGUUGUGUUGGAGAGGUCAGUAACUAACGACUCAGAGACUCCACAAACUAACGUUGCGGUGGCAUCAGGUCCUCACCUUAGCAUUCGUGGAUUUGGAGAGAUGGUCAGCUCGGUCAGCCGACGAUUUCCAAGAGUUACCGAGUCGGCAGAGAGUCUCGGAAGAAACUAUUAACGAAAGCUGUCGGGUACACAGCCAGUUGGUCCUCGGUGGAACGAGUGCGGUACAUCCUGAAGGUCCCUUACGUGAUUCCGCUGCUGGAGAAGAUGGUGCCGCAGCCGACGACACCUGUACCAGACAACGUCCACGAUGACGCCGGUGGGUUGUUCCUCAGGCUCCUCAUGUCCCACGAGCACGGCCCCGCGGUGAUCAUGCUCAUGAAACUGAUAGCGAAGAACAUACGCUUGGAGAAGAAGAAAGGACGCGAGGAGCUGAAAGUCAAUAUCGUGUGCUUGAUACAGUCGGCGAGGAAGCUAAUGGCGACGGACCUCUUCAAGAAAUCGGACAUCGCCGAGCGCUUAGCCCGGAAGAGGUUCGACGAGGUGCGGAUCGAGUUCCCGGGUCCCGGCGAGGGUGCUACGGUUGUUCGAAUCCAGCGCAGACCGUCCAGUUUUCGGUCAAGGCUCAGAGAUCCGGAGAGACGCCUCGAAGAUCCGAAGAGGUGGCGGUGCCGGACAGCAUGGGAGGGCUCUUCUUGCAGAUGGCCAUAACCCAUAAGGACGCGCCGGAGUACUUGAACGCGGUCAAAGCGGUUCUCAGGAACGUGGAGGUUCGCCAGAAGGCAGAGAACGGGAAAUUGAGGCGACAUUACUAUGUGAACAUUCUGGAUUUUGCUCGGACUGGCUAGUUGUCGGGAUUCCCGGUUGCUGGUGAGUUGCUGGAAUUACAGUUCGAUCUCGCGGCGAU